UUCAUUGGUGCCUUUGUUAGUAAAAAAAGUUUAAGUUUUGGUGACUUUAAUAGUGAACUAGUGUUUAGGAGGUGAUGUUGUUGGUUACUUUAUUCGUUGAAAAUGCUUAACUUUUGGUGACUUUAAAAGUGAACUUUUGUUUAGAAGGUGAUGUUGUAAGUGAACUUUUGUUUAGAAGGUGAUGUCGUUGGUGCCUUUGUUAGUAGAAAAAGCUUUACUUUUGGUGACUUUUAUAGUAAACUAGUGUUUAGGAGGUGAUGUUGUUGGUUACUUUAUUUGUUAAAAAUGCUUAACUUUUGGUGACAUUAAAAGUGAACUUUUGUUUAGAAGGUGAUGUUGUAAGUGAACUUUUGUUUAGAAGGUCAUGUUAUUGGUGACUUUAUUUGUUGAAAAUGCUUAACUUUUGGUGACUUUAAUAGUGAAUUAGUGUUUAGGAGGUGAUGUUGUUGGUUACUUUAUUUGUUGAAAAUGCUUAAGUGCUGAUGACUUUAAAAAUGAACUUUUGUUUAGAAGGUGAUGUUGUUAGUGACUUUAUUUGUUGAAAAUGCUUAAGUGCCGGUGACUUUAAUAGUGAAUUAGUGUUUAGGAGGUGAUGUUGUUGGUUACUUUAUUUGUUGAAAAUGCUUAAGUGCCGGUGACUUUAAUAGUGAAUUAGUGUUUAGGAGGUGAUGUUGUUGGUUACUUUAUUUGUUGAAAAUGCUUAAGUUUUGGUGACUUUAAUAGUGAAUUAGUUUCGUUGGUGCUUUUGUUAGUAGAAAAAGCUUAUGUUUUGGUGACUUUAAUAGUGAACUAGUGUUUAGGAGGUGAUGUUGUUGGUGACUUUAUUUGUUGAAAAUGCUUAACUUUUGGUGACUUUAAAAGUGAACUUUUGUUCAGAAGUUUAUGUUGUUGGUUACUUUAUUUGUUGAAAAUACUUAAGUACCGGUGACUUUAAUAGUGAAUUAGUGUUUAGGAGGUGAUGUUGUUGGUGACUUUAUUUGUUGAAAAUGCUUAACUUUUGGUGACUUUAAAAGUGAACUUUUGUUUAGAAGGUGAUGUUGUUGGUGACUUUAUUUAUUGAAAAUGCUUAAGUGCCGGUGACUUUAACAGUGAAUUAGUGUCUAGAAGGUGAUUUUGUUGGUUACUUCAUUUGUUGAAAAUACUUAACUUUUGGUGACUUUAAUAGUGAAUUAGUUUCGUUGGUGCCUUUGUUCUUAGAAAAAGCUUAAGUUUUGGUGACUUUAAUAGUGAACUAGUGUUUAGGAGGUGAUGUUGUUGGUGACUUUGUUUGUUGAAAAUGCAUAAGUGCCGGUGACUUUAAUAGUGAAUUAAUGUUUAGAAGGUGAUGUUGUUGGUUACUUUAUUUGUUGAAAAUGCUUAAGUUUUGGUGACUUUAAUAGUGAACUAUUGUUUAGGAGGUGACGUUGUUGGUGACUUUAUUUGUUGGAAAUACUUAACUUUUGGUGACUUUAAAAGUGAACUUUUGUUUAGAAGGUGAUGUUGUUGGUUACUUUAUUUGUUGAAAAUGCUUAAGUUUUGGUGACUUUAAUAGUGAACUAGUGUUUAGGAGGUGAUGUUGUUGGUUACUUUAUUUAUUGAAAAUGCUUAAGUGCCGAUGACUUUAAAAGUGAACUUUUGUUUUGAAGGUGAUGUUGUUGGUGACUUUGUUUGUUGAAAAUGUUUAAGUGCCGGUGACUUUAAUAAUAAAUUAGUGUUUAGAAGGUGAUGUUGGUGGUUACUUUAUUUGUUGAAAACGCUUAACUUUUGGUGAAUUUAAUAGUGAAUUAGUUUUGUUGGUGGCUUUGUUAGUAGAAAAAGCUUAAAUUUGGUGACUUUAAUAGCGAACUAGUGUUUAGGAGGUAAUGUUGUUGGUGACUUUGUUUGUCGAAAAUGCUUAAGUGCCGGUGACUUUAAUAGUGAAUUAGUGUUUAGAAGGUGAUGUUGUUGGUUACUUUAUUUGUUGAAAAUGCUCAACUUUUGAUGACUUUAAUAGUGAAUUAGUUUCGUUGGUGCCUUUGUUAGUAGAAAAUCCUUAAGUUUUGGUGACUUUAAUAGUGAACUAGUGUUUAGGAGGUGAUGUUGUUGGUGACUUUGUUUGUUGUAAAUGCUUUAGUGCUGGUGACUUUAAUAGUGAAUCAGUGUUUAGAAGGUGAUGUUGUUGGUUACUUUAUUUGUUGAAAAUGCUUAAGUGCCGGUGACUUUAAUAGUGAAUUGGUGUUUAGAAGGUGAUGUUGUUGGUUACUUUAUUUGUUGACAAUGCUUAACUUUUUGUGACUUUAAUAGUGAGUUAGUUUCUUUGGUGCCUUUGUUAGUAGAAAAAGCUUAAGUUUUGGUGACUUUAAUAGUGAACUCGUGUUUAGGAGGUGAUGUUGUUGGUGACUUUGUUUGUUGAAAAUGCUUAAGUGCCGGUGACUUUAAUAGUGAAUUUGUUUUUAGAAGGUGAUAUUGUUGGUUACUUUAUUUGUUGAAAAUGGUUAAGUGCCGGUGACUUUAAUAGUGAAUUAGUGUUUAGAAGUUGAUGUUGUUGGUUACUUUAUUUGUUGAAAAUGCUUAAAUGUCGAUGACUUUAAAAGUGAACUUUUGCUUAGAAGGUGAUGUUGUUGGUGACUUUAUUUGUUGAAAAUUCUUAAGUGCCGGUAACUUUAAUAGUGAAUUAGUGUUUAGGAGGUGAUGUUGUUGGUUACUUUAUUUGUUGAAAAUUCUUAAGUGCCGGUGGCUUUAAUAGUGAAUUAAUGUUUAGAAGGUGAUGUUGUUGGUUACUUUAUUUGUUGAAAAUGCUUAACUUUUGGUGACUUUAAAAGUGAAUUUUUGUUU
rnacentral:lncRNA from 1 species